rnacentral:lncRNA from 1 species
GGGUUGUGAAGUAAAAAAGCGAUUGGUUCAUUGAAGCCCUGCCCACAAACCUCAAAUAUCAUCCGCCAUUAGUCUGAGCCAACAGAUGCCAAUGUCUCUCAUUGAGGGGAUUCCAUUAAUCUGACCCGGUCUCCAGGGUAGGUACCUCAUUGAGGGGAUUCCAUUAAUCUGACCCAGGCUCCAGGGUAGGUGUCUCAUUGAGGGGAUUCCAUUAAUCUGACCCAGGCUCCAGGGUAGAUGUCUCAUUGAGGGGAUUCCAUUAAUCUGACCCAGGCUCCAGGGUAGGUGUCUCAUUGAGGGGAUUCCAUUAAUCUGACCCAGGCUCCAGGGUAGGUGUCUCAUUGAGGGGAUUCCAUUAAUCUGACCCAGGCUCCAGGGUAGGUGUCUCAUUGAGGGGAUUCCAUUAAUCUGACCCAGGCUCCAGGGUAGGUGUGUUUUGCACCGGGUGAAAGUGAAUUGCAUUAGUUUAGGAACCGGGCUGCUUCCCGGGGGUGAACCAGGUUCCCCGUUCAAAGCCCAGGACGAAGUCGGCUCAAAACAAAGGAGUAGGAUCCUGUGUUUUCACAUGCUAAAGUUAUAGCUUUAGAUUAAAACGCUUUAUCUGCCUUCCCAAUGAAAACUAGUGUGACAUGUCAAGGGCUGGUCCUGUGUUCCAUGAGCUGGAAUAAGGUCCUAUAAAUGUUCCAUGAGCUGGAAUAAGGUCCUAUAAAUGUUUCAUGAGCUGGAAUAAGGUCCUAUAAAUGUUCCAUGAGCUGGAAUAAGGUCCUAUAAAUGUUCCAUGAGCUGGAAUAAGGUCAUAGAAAUGUUCCAUACAAAGAAAAAG